UGGUGGAGUGAUUUGUCUGGUUAAUUCCGUUAACGAACGAGACCCCUGCCUGCUAAAUAGUCCGCGUAGUGCUUGUCACUGUGUAGGUACUUCUUAGAGGGACGUGCAUUCUAUUAGAUGCAGGAAGAUAGGGGCAAUAACA
rnacentral:rRNA from 1 species